UGUGAAAUCCCAAGGCUCAACCUUGGAAUAGCACCCGAAACUGUAGAACUAGAGGGUAGGCGGAGAAAACGGAAUUCCACAAGUAGCGGUGAAAUGCGUAGAUAUGUGGAAGAACAUCGGUGGCGAAGGCGGUUUUCUAGCUUAUUCCUGACGCUGAGGCGCGAAAGCAAGGGGAUCAAACAGGAUUAGAUACCCUGGUAGUCCUUGCCGUAAACUAUGUAUACUUGGUGUAACUGGACUCAACCCUAGUUGUGCCGUAGCUAACGCGUUAAGUAUACCGCCUGGGGAGUACACUCGCAAGGGUGAAACUCAAAAGAAUUGACGGGGACCCGCACAAGCAGUGGAGCAUGUGGUUUAAUUCGAUGCAACGCGAAGAACCUUACCCAGACUUGACAUGCAGAUGACAGCUCUAGAAAUAGAGAUUUCCUUCGGGACAUCUGCACAGGUGCUGCAUGGCUGUCGUCAGCUCGUGCCGUGAGGUGUUGGGUUAAGUCCCGCAACGAGCGCAACCCUUAUCAUUAGUU
rnacentral:rRNA from 1 species